rnacentral:rRNA from 1 species
GACGAACGCUGGCGGCGUGCCUAAUACAUGCAAGUAGAACGCUGAAGAGAGGAGCUUGCUCUUCUUGGAUGAGUUGCGAACGGGUGAGUAACGCGUAGGUAACCUGCCUUGUAGCGGGGGAUAACUAUUGGAAACGAUAGCUAAUACCGCAUAACAAUGGAUGACACAUGUCAUUUAUUUGAAAGGGGCAAUUGUUCCACUACAAGAUGGACCUGCGUUGUAUUAGCUAGUAGGUGAGGUAAUGGCUCACCUAGGCGACGAUACAUAGCCGACCUGAGAGGGUGAUCGGCCACACUGGGACUGAGACACGGCCCAGACUCCUACGGGAGGCAGCAGUAGGGAAUCUUCGGCAAUGGGGGCAACCCUGACCGAGCAACGCCGCGUGAGUGAAGAAGGGUUUCGGAUCGUAAAGCUCUGUUGUAAGUCAAGAACGGGUGUGAGAGUGGAAAGUUCACACUGUGACGGUAGCUUACCAGAAAGGGACGGCUAACUACGUG